AUGGCUGUGCCUCCUACAUAAGCUGUUCUUGGCAAGUCCGCCAGCAAUGUCUUCACCGAGGGCUAAGGCUUGGCUUAAUCAAACUUGAUUUGAAAAUGAAGUCUUAGAAUGGACUGGAGUUUACCAGCUCAGGUUCUGCCAACACAGAAACCACCAAAGUGAAUGGCAGUCUGGAAACCAAGUACAGAUGGACUGAGUGUGGGCUAACAUUUACAGAGUAAUGGAACACAGACAACACCCUAGGCACUGAGAUCACCGUGGAAGACCAGCUUGCUCGUGGAUUGAACCUGACCUUUGAUUCAUCUUUCUCACCUAACACUGGGAACAAAAAUGCUAAAAUCAAGACAGGGUACAAGAGAGAGCAUAUCAACCUGGGCUGUGAUGUGGACUUUGACAUUGCUGGGCCCUCAAUCCAGGUUGCUCUGGUGCUUGGCUAUGAGGGUUAGCUAGCUGGCUACCGGAUGAAUUUUGAGACCUCGAAGUCCCAAGUGACUUCACACAACUUCACAGUUGACUACAAGACAGAUGAAUUCCAACUUCAUACUAAUGUGAACGACAGGACAGAGUUUGGUGGUUCCAUUUACCAGAAGGUGAACAAGAAGUUGGAGACUGCCGUCAAUCUCACAUGGACUGCAGGAAACAGUAACACUCACUUUGGAAUAGCAGCCAAGUAUCAGGUCGACCCUGAUGCCUGCUUUUCGGCCAAAGUGAACAACUCUAGCCUGAUUGGCUUAGGGUACACACAGACCCUAAAACCAGGUAUCAAACUGAUGCUGUCGGCCCUGCUGGAUGGCAAGAACGUCAAAGCGGGCGGCCACAAGCUUGGUUUAGGACUGGGAUUUCAAGCAUAA